CCUACGGGAGGCAGCAGUAGGGAAUCUUUCACAAUGGGCGAAAGCCUGAUGGAGCAACGCCGCGUGCAGGAUGAAGGCCUUCGGGUUGUAAACUGCUUUUAUAAGCGAGAAAUAUGAUGGUAACUUAUGAAUAAGGAUCGGCUAACUCCGUGCCAGCAGCCGCGGUAAUACGGAGGAUGCGAGCGUUAUCCGGAUUUAUUGGGUUUAAAGGGUGCGCAGGCGGUCUGUUAAGUCAGCGGUCAAAGCCCGGGGCUCAACCCCGGCCCGCCGUUGAAACUGGCAGUCUCGAGUUGGAGAGAAGUAUG
rnacentral:rRNA from 1 species